rnacentral:rRNA from 1 species
GAUGACCGCUGGCGGCACGCUUAACACAUGCAAGUCGAACGACGUGGCGAACGGCCGAGUAACACGUGGGCAACCUGCCCUCCAGUUCGGAACAGCUACGGGAAACCGCGGGUAAUACCGGAUGCUGAAGGAUGGGCCCGCGGCCUGUUAGCUUGUUGGUGAGGUAACGGCUCACCAAGGCAGUAAUGGGUAGCCGGGUUGAGAGACCGACCGACAAGAUUGGGACUGAGGGAAGGGCCAGACUCCUACAGGAGACAGAGGGGGGGAAUCUGGCGCAGUGACCGGAAACAAAGAGCAAGGGUGCCACAGGCGAGAGGAAGGCCUACACAUCGUAAGCCGGGUACAGGAAGGGCGCGGUACCUGCAGAAGAAGCCCCGGCUAACUACGUGCCAGCAGCCGCGGUAAUUC